rnacentral:tRNA from 1 species
GCUCCCUUAGUAUAGCCUGGAUAGUACGUAGCCUUGCGGAGGCUAAAACCAGGGUUCAAAUCCCUGAGGGAGCG